GACGAACGCUGGCGGCGUGCCUAAUACAUGCAAGUCGAGCGAAUGGAUUAAGAGCUUGCUCUUAUGAAGUUAGCGGCGGACGGGUGAGUAACACGUGGGUAACCUGCCCAUAAGACUGGGAUAACUCCGGGAAACCGGGGCUAAUACCGGAUAACAUUUUGAACCGCAUGGUUCGAAAUUGAAAGGCGGCUUCGGCUGUCACUUAUGGAUGGACCCGCGUCGCAUUAGCUAGUUGGUGAGGUAACGGCUCACCAAGGCAACGAUGCGUAGCCGACCUGAGAGGGUGAUCGGCCACACUAGGACUGAGACACGGCCCAGACUCCUACGGGAGGCAGCAGUAGGGAAUCUUCCGCAAUGGACGAAAGUCUGACGGAGCAACGCCGCGUGAGUGAUGAAGGCUUUCGGGUCGUAAAACUCUGUUGUUAGGGAAGAACAAGUGCUAGUUGAAUAAGCUGGCACCUUGACGGUACCUAAUCAGAAAGCCACGGCUAACUACGUGCCAGCAGCCGCGGUAA
rnacentral:rRNA from 1 species